AUGAGGCACAUACAAAUUCCCCCGUGUGUACGUCACUUUUCUAUAAUCAUAGAUAACACGGAUGUAGAGGACAGGGUGUCCUUUGAACACUGCAAUGAAAAUUUGAGUGCACUAGAUAAACGGCUGAAAGUUGAACACCUACGCACUUUAAUGUUAUUUGGUGAUUACCAUGGAAGCUUUGUCAAAAAUUUUGGUGGAUUGUUAAGGGAAGCUACGGCCCUUCGUGUUAUAUUUUUGUCCGAAGCAUCAUAUAAUUUGGAGGACAUAUUGCAUAACUUUUCAAAACUUGUCCAUCUUCACUACCUAAGGAUCAAGUCGUCGUUGUAUUGCCAGGACUUGUGCUUACCAAGUGCAUUGUUUAGAUUGUAUCAUUUAGAGAUUAUUGAUCUGCAAAGUGUGCAAUGCCGUGUUAGUUCAACUAGAAAUAUUAGCAACCUUGUAAAGCUACAUCAUUUUUUGCUGCCAAAAAACAUGCUUCAAUUUCAUUCUGACAUUUAUGGGGUGGGAAAACUAAAAUUCCUUCAGGAAUUAAGAAAUUUUAAUGUGGGAAAGGAGAGUGAUGGUUUUGAACUGAGUCAGCUCGGGCCACUGACAGAGCUUGGGGGAUCACUUGGCAUUUAUAAUCUCGAAAAUGUGCAAACAGAAGAGGAAGCAAAUGAAUCGAAAUUGUUGCGCAAGAACCACUUAAGAGAACUCAUACUACAAUGGGGUAGUUGGCCAUCUAAUAAUGAUCCUGUAAAAGAAGACAAUGUUCUUAGAAGUCUUGUACCACAUAGCAAUCUUCAAGACUUGUGCAUUAGAGGACAUGGAGGCACCAAUUGCCCAGCAUGGCUAUGUGAGAAUCUCUCAGUUAAAUGCUUGGAAUCUCUUUGUCUUGAUAAUGUAUCUUGGAAGAAUCUUCCACCUCUGGGAGAGAUGUGGAUGGUUAAUGAGCACGGUGAAGAGUAUCAGUGUUGUAGUAUCUCGUCUCCAGGCUUCCAUAAUUUGAAAAGGCUACAAUUAAGUAACAUAUAUAGGUUGAAAAAAUGGGUUGGAAAUGACAAUUGUUCUUUAUUUUCUCACUUGGAAGUUCUCAUCAUUAAAGAUUGCUCUGAACUCAUGGAGUUACCGUUUUCACAUCCUACUUGCUCUCAAGCACAGCAGGAGAAGAAAAUGGCUUGGUUUCCUAGACUACGGGAGCUUGUCAUUUUUUACUGCCCGAAACUAGUGUCUAUGCCUUCUAUCCCUUGGUGGACUGGUGCUCCGUGCUCUGCUCAGCUAGAAAGAGUGGGAACUGGUAUUGAGCAGCUGGUUUACCCAAGCUAUGGAAAAGAAUUUAGCUUGGGCAUUGAGGGAAAAGGUGGUGAGGGCGAUGAGUUCUGGAGUGGGUUGAAUUUCUCUAACCUAACUGACCUAGAAAAGUUUCAUAUGAAAAUAAUCCCUUUCCUGUCGCUGGAUAAACUCCGAGUGCUAACAUCUCUGAAGAAGAUCGAUAUAGAGGGUGUGAGCAGUGUCUUGCCGCCGGUUGAUUGGGAUUGGUAUCAUGGCAUGUACAGGUUUCCAGUUGAAGUUCUCCACAUCAGCAGGUGUGAUGCUAGUGGGAAAGAACUGACACUGCUUCUAUCUUUCCUUCCCAACCUCUCAGAGUUGUUUAUAAGCGAGUGCAAGAUUAUAACUGGGUUGGGUGUGGUGGAGGAUGCGGAAACUGUUUCUAGAGAGCAGGAGCAGCAGACAAGAGUCGGAGAGGAGGAAAUAAUAAUAGCAGCGGCAGCACAAGGACUUCUCUUCUUGCCUUCCCAGCUACAGGAGUUGAUGAUUUAUAAUUGCUCAAAUGUGAGCUUACUCGCCAAUUCAUCGCAUGACAACCACACAGAAGCAGGAGGGGGGCUCCAACGUCUUCGCUGCCUCCGCUCGUUGUGGAUAGACAAGUGCCCCGAGUUCCUGUCCUCUUAUUCAUCCUCGCUGAUCUCCUCUUUUCUCCCUUUCCCGACCUGUCUGCAAGACCUCGACUUAUUGGACGUGAAGCACAUGGAGACUCUGCAACCUCUCUCAAACCUCACCUCUCUCACCGGAUUAAUGUUGAGAAUAUUGGGAGGUUCGACAGAAGAGGGCUUAUGGCCCCUCCUCGCCCACGGCCACCUCACAAAAUUACACCUUUAUGCUGACUCCGAUUUCUUUGCUGGUUUCGACCCCUCACGGCCGCAUGACAAAGAGGUUUUUGCCUGUUCCUCCAAGCUCUUCUAUCUAUGUACGGAGAUCAACACAGGAUUCCUUGCUGCGCCCAUCUGCAGCCUCCUCUCUUCCACCCUCACCAAACUAUACCUCAGUUUCGGCACAGAGAUGGAGCGCUUGACAAAGGAGCAAGAGGAGGCUCUUCAACUCCUCACCUCCCUCCAAGAGCUCGAAUUUUCGUGUGGAUUCAAUCUGCAACGCCUACCUGCAGGGCUACACAACCUUAUCAACCUCGAGAAAUUACAGGUCGAAAGUUGUGAUGACAUCAAGUCGCUGCCCAGCCUUCCGAGCUCUUUGCAGGAAUUAGUGAUGGAACAUUGUCAUGCCACCAAGUCGCUGCCAAAUGCCCUCCCAAUUUCUCUGGAAAUAUUGAGGAUCUGCCACUGCGAUGCCAUCAAGUCGCUCCCCAAGAAUGGCCUUCCUAGUUUAAUGCUAGAGUUAGAUGUCCUUGAGGGCAACAGCGAGGAGCUAAAAAGGGCAUGCCACAAGCUAAUAGGAACCAUUCCAAUUGUCAGAGCCUGA
rnacentral:rRNA from 1 species